UNUUUAGAGUUUGAUCCCUGCUCAGGACGAACGCUGGCGGCGUGCCUAAUACAUGCAAGUCGAACGCUUCUUUUCCCACCGGAGCUUGCUCCACCGGGAAAAGAGGAGUGGCGAACGGGUGAGUAACACGUGGGUAACCUGCCCAUCAGAAGGGGAUAACACUUGGAAACAGGUGCUAAUACCGUAUAACAAUCGAAACCGCAUGGUUUCGUUUUGAAAGGCGCUUUACGGUGCCGCUGAUGGAUGGACCCGCGGUGCAUUAGCUAGUUGGUGAGGUAACGGCUCACCAAGGCCACGAUGCAUAGCCGACCUGAGAGGGUGAUCGGCCACAUUGGGACUGAGACACGGCCCAAACUCCUACGGGAGGCAGCAGUAGGGAAUCUUCGGCAAUGGACGAAAGUCUGACCGAGCAACGCCGCGUGAGUGAAGAAGGUUUUCGGAUCGUAAAACUCUGUUGUUAGAGAAGAACAAGGGUGAGAGUAACUGUUCACCCCUUGACGGUAUCUAACCAGAAAGCCACGGCUAACUACGUGCCAGCAGCCGCGGUAAUACGUAGGUGGCAAGCGUUGUCCGGAUUUAUUGGGCGUAAAGCGAGCGCAGGCGGUUUCUUAAGUCUGAUGUGAAAGCCCCCGGCUCAACCGGGGAGGGUCAUUGGAAACUGGGAGACUGAGUGCAGAAGUGAGA
rnacentral:rRNA from 1 species